rnacentral:rRNA from 1 species
CCUGAGAAACCCAAAAGAUCGAAUGGGGAGAUUCAUCGUCAGCGAUCCAGGCACGUGUGCGGUUCGUGAUGCCAUAAGAUUUCGGUCUUGAGGUACACGUCCGUGUGGUUUUUGCCUGGUGUCGUCGGCGUGCACUUCUCCCCUAGUAGGACGUCGCGACCCGUUGGGUGUCGGUCUACGGCCCGGGUGGGUGCCUGUCAUGUGUACGACGCUUCACGGCGUCAUGUGGCUGACAGACCCCCGGUUGUCUGACCAGCUGCCCGGCGGUACUCGCACGGUAUCGAGCCGCAAAUUCGAACUGCGUCCGGCCCGCCGCAAGCGAGGCCAGUGUUUCCCGGAUGUACGGACCUAGUGCCGUCACCGGGCCUGGCCAGCUGUUGGUUGGCGGUGUCCUAGGACUGGCUUCAAUGAUACCGGUCGGCGACGCUACUGCUUUGGGUACUUUCAGGA